rnacentral:rRNA from 1 species
UACGUAGGGUGCGAGCGUUGUCCGGAAUUAUUGGGCGUAAAGAGCUUGUAGGCGGUUUGUCGCGUCUGCCGUGAAAAUCCGGGGCUCAACCCCGGACUUGCGGUGGGUACGGGCAGACUAGAGUGUGGUAGGGGAGACUGGAAUUCCUGGUGUAGCGGUGAAAUGCGCAGAGAUCAGGAGGAACACCGAUUGCGAAGGCAGCUCGCUGGGACGUCACUGACGCUGAGACGCGAAAGCGUGGGGAGCAAACAGG